rnacentral:tRNA from 1 species
AAGACACUAGUAAUAAAAAUUACACUGCCUUGUCAAGGCAGAAUUGUAGGUUAAACCCCUGCGUGUCUUG